GGGGAAAGACCUUGGGGAUUGCAGCAGAAGUCUGAACUCAGGGAGGAGAUGAUUCAUGCAGGGUGGAGCUCAAAGAGCAGGCAGCAGAGCAACCCCGACAGCUGACGCAGCUGGGAAGAGUGGCCAGGGUCAGCAGGGCAGGGGCAGCCCCACUGCUGGGGAAUGGAGGAUCACAUCGGGAUGAAUGUGCAAUGAACAUUCCUCAGCAGGGGCUGAGCUGUGGCCCGGGCACAGCCAGUGGCUUCCCCAGAGACUCUGGAGCACAGAAGAAACACAGGCCUUGGUCUUCCGUGGAGGCUGGAGGUGAAUCUGAACCCAGUGAGGGCUGGUGAGGUGCCUCCAGAUGUCCCCAGAUGUCCCAGAGCCUGCAGAAUCCCUUGUGCUAUCUCAUCUCCUUUCCUGUGCUUGCUGAUGAUGACUUUGGUGCUGAGCUAAGUUCCCACAGACGGUAGCAUUUCUGCUGUGCUUUCUUUAGAACAUCAGGAACCUGGACAGUCUCCCAACCCAGUAACAAGAAUGCACCUAUGAAAACCAACAGGACUCACCCCCGGGAAUUACCUCUCUAAAGGCCCUGUCUUCAAAUGCAGUCGUGCUCAAGGAACAGAGGUGCUCCGAUGCUCCUGGUCCUGAGGCCACCAGACUUCUCUGCUAGGGUUGGAGCCACCAUGAGACCCUGAGUUCAUAGAACAGCUGGGCUCCAUCAGGGCUUCGCCCCAGACACAGCUCCAGGCCCCCUUGGUGGGACCUCCUUGGUGGGGCCUGGCCACAGUGGACAGAUUUCCCAACACUGGCCAACACCCUUAUGGACUUCCAAAUUGGAUCAGGGCCUGGAAAUUUCUUCUGUGCUGCCUGGCUCCACCAGGGCCGCCUGAUUCAGGCAGCUGCCUGAGUCAUUCUGGAUUCCGUCCCUCUGCCUUCACUUUCUGGGCCCUGGAUGCUGGAGCUGCCCUCCCAGGAGGGACACAAGUGCAGAGGCCUCUCUUCCAUGGUGUGUGAUGGCUCAGGUUGGAUGUGAUGUGCUUCUGGAUUUGAAGUCAUUAUCAGGACUUCACACUAUAGAUCAGAUGUCUAUUUUUCUUCUCCACUGCUGUCCUGAUAUUCGCUCAGUAACAGAUCACCUUCCCUGUCCACAGUCUAUGGCGUGAAGGAGUGAGAAUCCCAGCUAUGAGCAGUUGUUGAACGCUUGAAAACCAGCUCUCCAAAUCCUAGAGCUUUAGUACACCAAGCAAGGGAGAGUAUCUCCUUAAUAAUAGUUUGAUUGAUCACAUGCUGAAAUAUUACCAUUUUUGAUACUUUGGGUUUAGUCAAAUUUAGUAAAACUUUGGUUUGGGAGCAUGAAUUGUUCUGGGAACAUGCUUAUAAUUCAAAGUACUUGUCUACCAAAGCGAAUUUCCCCAUAAGAAAUAACAGAAACUCAGAUAAUUCAUUCUACAACCCAAAAAUAUUCAUAUAAAAAUGAUUACAAUACUGUAAGAGUACAAAAUAAAGAAAGUAUAAAAUAUACAGAAAAGUAAAUAUAUUAACUUGCACUCACCUUUGAAAACCCUCAUGGCUGGUGUGAGGGAGUCAAGAGAAAGGAGGGUUACUGCAUGGGACGACUUUCACUAUUGCAAAUGGAAUCACUACCUAUUGGCGGCUCAGUGGAACCCUUUUCUGGUUGUGCAGCUUUAACAAGGAACCCAUCCAAUGAUGCUUCUGCCUCCUUUGGAGGAUUUCAUGGAAAUCUGACUUUGCAUUGUCAUUAAACAGACUCACUGCUGGCACUGUUGGUCUUAUUUGAGUGAUGCUUUCCUACAGAAUUUUGCAGUGUUCCCCACAUUUUACAUGUCUUCCAGUUUUGCACUAUUUCCAACAUUUUACACAUCUCCCUAUCUUCCUCUGUAUAUGAGAUCUGCUCCUUAAACUCCUACUGCUAGGAGCAAUGAUAAUCCUGCAGUACAGGGGGAUGGAGGGGCAGAGGAAACCAUUAGAGAAGUUGUGAUCAUGUGACAUUCACCUGCUGCUAGUAUUGUAAGACAUGGCUUGUCUAUCAAGUUCAAAUUUAUUAUAAAUGUUUACUGGUCUUGUGAAACAUUCGCAGAACAAGUUACAGUCCAAGAUUUUACUGUACAUAUUAAAAUUAGAUUUAUCUAUUGUUUUUUUUACUGUUGUUAAAUGUUAAAUGUGACAUUUAAAAGGAAAUAAAAUUCCAUAAGUGGCUGUCUA